rnacentral:rRNA from 1 species
AGCGAACGCUGGCGGCAGGCUUAACACAUGCAAGUCGAGCGGACCUUUCGGGGUCAGCGGCGGACGGGUGAGUAACGCGGGGGAACGUGCCUUCCGGUUCGGAAUAACCCUGGGAAACUAGGGCUAAGACCGGAUACGCCCAUAUGGGGAAAGGUUUACUGCCGGAAGAUCGGCCCGGGACGGCUUAGCUAGUUGGUGGGGUAACGGCAUACCAAGGCGACGAUCAGUAGCUGGUCUGAGAGGAUGAUCAGCCAGACUGGGACUAAGACCCGGCCCAGACUCCUACGGGAGGCAGCAGUGGGGAAUAUUGGACAAUGGGCGCAAGCCUAGUCCAGCCAUGCCGCGUAAGUGAUGAAGGCCGUAGGGUUGUACAGCUCUUUUAUCCGGGACGAUAGUGACGGUACCGGAGGAAUAAGCCCCGGCUAACUUCGUG